rnacentral:rRNA from 1 species
UACGUAGGGUGCAAGCGUUGUCCGGAAUUAUUGGGCGUAAAGAGCGUGUAGGCGGCCAGGUAGGUCUGGUGUGAAAACUCGAGGCUCAACCUCGAGAGGUCAUCGGAAACCAUCUGGCUAGAGUCCGGAAGAGGAGAGUGGAAUUCCCGGUGUAGCGGUGAAAUGCGCAGAUAUCGGGAGGAACACCGGUGGCGAAGGCGGCUUCCUGGACCGACACUGACGCUGAGGCGCGAAAGCUAGGGGAGCAAACGGG